AUUGAACGCUGGCGGCAGGCCUAACACAUGCAAGUCGAACGAGUGGCGGACGGGUGAGUAAUGUCUGGGAAACUGCCUGAUGGAGGGGGAUAACUACUGGAAACUGUAGCUAAUACCGCGUACCAUAGGAUGAGCCCAAGUGGGAUUAGGUAGUUGGUGAGGUAAAGGCUCACCAAGCCGACGAUCUCUAGCUGGUCUGAGAGGAUGACCAGCCACACUGGGACGUAGACACGGCCCAGACUCCUACGGGAGGCAGCAGUGGGGAAUAUUGCGCAAUGGGGGCAACCCUGACGCAGCCAUGCCGCGUGUGUGAAGAAGGCCUUCGGGUUGUAAAGCACUUUCAGCGGGGAGGCGUUACCCGCAGAAGAAGCACCGGCUAACUCCGUGCCAGCCGCCGCGGUAAUAC
rnacentral:rRNA from 1 species